UCUCCUGUGACCAUGACCUCCAUGUGUCUCAGUUGUACGUGGCACUACAUUUUAUAUAAAAAUAAAAGUGGUGUCAUGUACAAUUGUGGCCCUUGGAGAAGAACCUUCUAAGCAAGA
rnacentral:precursor_RNA from 12 species